GCUCAGAUAGCUCAGUCGGUAGAGCAGAGGACUGAAAAUCCUCGUGUCGCUGGUUCGAUUCCGGCUCUGAGCACCA
rnacentral:tRNA from 1 species